GCGCGAGUGGCGGAAUUGGCAGACGCGCAGGCUUCAGGUGCCUGUGUCCUUCGGGACGUGAGGGUUCAAGUCCCUUCUUGCGCA
rnacentral:tRNA from 1 species